UACGUAGGUGGCAAGCGUCAAUCGGAAUUACUGGGCGUAAAGCGCACGUAGGUGGUUUGUUAAGCCAACUGUGAAAUCCCCGGGCUCAACCUGGGCACUGCAGUUGGAACUGGCAAACUAGAGUAGGGUAGAGGGGUGUGGAAUUCCAGGUGUAGCGGUGAAAUGCGUAGAUAUCUGGAGGAACAUCAGUGGCGAAGGCGACACCCUGGACUCAUACUGACACUGAGGUGCGAAAGCGUGGGGAGCAAACAGG
rnacentral:rRNA from 1 species